rnacentral:rRNA from 1 species
UAAGGAAUAUUGGACAAUGGGCGCAAGCCUGAUCCAGCCAUGCCGCGUGCAGGAAGAAGCAUCUAUGGUGUGUAAACUGCUUUUGUACGGGAAAAAACACUCCUUCGUGAAGGAGCUUGACGGUACCGUAAGAAUAAGGAUCGGCUAACUCCGUGCCAGCAGCCGCGGUAAUACGGAGGAUCCAAGCGUUAUCCGGAAUCAUUGGGUUUAAAGGGUCCGUGGGCGGUUUAGUAAGUCAGUGGUGAAAGCCCAUCGCUCAACGAUGGAACGGCCAUUGAUACUGUUAGACUUGAAUUACAAGGAAGUAACUAGAAUAUGUAGUGUAGCGGUGAAAUGCUUGGAUAUUACAUGGAAUACCAAUUGCGAAGGCAGGUCACUAAGUCUUAACUGACGCUGAUGGACGAAAGCGUGGGGAGCGAACA